rnacentral:rRNA from 1 species
AACGAACGCUGGCGGCAGGCUUAACACAUGCAAGUCGAACGAGAUCUUCGGAUCUAGUGGCAGACGGGUGAGGAACACGUGGGAACAUCCCUUUCAGUUCGGAAUAACGUUGGGAAACUAACGCUAAUACCGGAUACGUCCUUCGGGAGAAAGAUUUAUCGCUGAAAGAUUGGCCCGCGUCUGAUUAGCUAGUUGGUGAGGUAACGGCUCACCAAGGCUACGAUCAGUAGCUGAUCUGAGAGGAUGAUCAGCCACAUUGGGACUGAGACACGGCCCAAACUCCUACGGGAGGCAGCAGUGGGGAAUAUUGGACAAUGGGCGCAAGCCUGAUCCAGCCAUGCCGCGUGAGUGAUGAAGGCCUUCGGGUUGUAAAGCUCUUUUGUCCGGGAAGAUAAUGACUGUACCGGAAGAAUAAGCCCCGGCAAACUUCGUGCCAGCCGCCGCAGUAACAC